CUUCUCCUUUUUCCUUCUUGUGGACUUCCAUUGCAAAAUCUUUCUUUCAAUCUUCAAUUCGUAGUUUCUUCUCUCACUACUCACUCUUCGCAAUGGAUAUUGUGACUGCUCUUGGCGGCUCUAUCCUCUGUGUUUGCUUUCAGGGGCUGCUUGACAGUUUGAACUCCAUUGACUUUAUGAAAUACUUAGGCCAUGGGCAAGUCUUCACUCAACUCAAGAAGUGGGAGAAGAUGCUCAAGAGAAUUCAUGCGGUGCUUGAAGAUGCAGAGGAAAAGCAGGUGGCCAAUCGAUUGGUCGAGAUCUGGUUAAGCGAUCUCAGAGACUUGGCUUACGACCUGGAGGAUAUCAUUGAUGAACUUGCAACGGAGGUUCAGCAACGCAAGUUGGAAGUCAAACCUGUUCGUCCAAAUAAUAAGGUGCAAAAGUUUUUCUCUAUUAUGUGUGGUGCGGUGAAUGUAAAUCUAAAUACUAUUAAGUUUAAUGCUGAGAUGGUUUCCAAGAUAGAGGAAACUAGUGCUAGAUUGGAUGAGAUCAUAAAGCAAAAAGAUGAACUUUGUUUAGCAGAGUAUGCUAGAAGGAGGGUCAGCCAUGUGACAGAAAGACCAGCCACAACCUCUUUGGUUAAUGAAGCAAAGGUCUAUGGUAGGGAGGAAGAUAAGAAGGCGAUGCUGAACUUGUUGAAUGCUGAGACAAGUGAUGCGGAGGUAUCUGUGAUUCCUAUAGUUGGAAUGGGAGGCCUUGGCAAGACAACUCUCGCUCAGCUGGUUUACAAUGAUCCCACAUUGGGGUUUGAUUUGAAAGCCUGGGUUUCUGUUGGUGAGGAUUUUGAUGUUGUCAGGAUCACCAAAAUAGUUCUUCUUCAAUUGGGAGAUGGUGGUGAUGUUAAAGAUUUAAAUUCGCUUCAGGUAAAAUUGAAGGAAAAGUUGUCUGGGAAGAAGUUUUUAGUUGUCUUGGAUGAUGUCUGGACCGAGAACUAUGAGCAAUGGACUCUGUUUCGGAGUUCUUUUGAAGGAGGGAUACCUCAAAGCAGAAUUAUUAUCACAACUCGCAGUCAGGAGGUUUCAUUGAUGAUGGGUACUACUCCAGCUUAUCCUCUCAAGGAGCUAUCAUAUGAUGAUUGCUUGUAUGUGUUUGCCCAACAUGCUUUGGAAGCAACAAGUUUUGACGAGCACUUGGAGCUGAAAGAAAUAGGUGAGAAGAUUGUCAAAAGAUGUCGAGGAUUACCUUUGGCAGCAAAAGCUCUUGGAGGCAUCUUAAGGGGUAAACGCAAUCCUAAUUUGUGGAAGGAAGUGUUGAGCAGUGAGAUAUGGGAAUUACCAGACAACAAAAGCAAUAUUCUUCCAGCCUUAAGGUUGAGCUAUCUUCAUCUUCCAUCUCAUUUGAAGCAGUGUUUCGCUUAUUGCGCAAUUUUACCAAAGGAUCGCGAGUUUGAUAGGAAUGAGUUGAUUUUGUUAUGGAUGGCCGAGGGUUUCUUGUAUGAUCAGAAGAAAAUGAAGAAGAGCGAAGGUUUAGGUCAUAAAUAUUUUGAUGAAUUAUUAUCAAGAUCGUUUUUUCAACAAUCUAAUGAUAAUAAAUCAAAAUAUAUAAUGCAUGACCUAAUUAUUGAUUUAGCAUGCUUUGUUAGUAGAGAAACAUGUUUGCUUAUGGUUGAUAAAUUGGAAAGUGCAAAAUCAUAUGGAAAGAUACGACAUUCAUCAUAUAUUCCUCAUCUCAGAGAUACUUUCCUCAGAUUUCAAAGCUUCUAUGAAAUGAAGAAUUUGCGGACAUUUUUAUCAUUGCCGAAAUACACUUCUUGUUACUGCGAAUUAUCUAGUAAGGUGGUGCAUGACUUGGUGCCAAAAUUAAAAUGCUUAAGGUCUCUAUCUUUAGCUGGUUAUGUGAUUGAAGAGUUGCCGGAGUCUAUUGGUGCCUUGAAGCACUUGCGCUACUUUGACUUGUCUUAUACUAUAAUAAAAAAGUUGCCUGAAUCAGUGGAUAAACUCUUUAACUUACAGACAUUGAAGUUGUGUGGUUGUGGUAGUCUUAUUGAGUUACCUAGAGGCAUUUGCAAUUUACUCAACUUGCGGCAUCUUGACAUUCUCAGCACACAGAAUUUGCAAGAGAUGCCACCGCAUAUCGGUAAUUUGACUAGUCUCUGCCUGUUGACCAAGUUUAUCGUGGGGGAAAGCAAUGGACGGAUCACAGAGUUACAAAAGCUUUCUGAUCUACAAGGGCAGCUUCAUAUUAUAAGUUUAGAGAAGGUUGUAGAUAUUCAAGAUGCGGGUUUCGCAAAUUUGAAGGACAAGCCUGGUAUCACUGAAUUAUACUUACAAUGGUCUCGUGAAUUUUCUUCUGUUUUGAGAAACUCAAGUGAUGAAGAACAAGUUCUCAAUUCACUACGGCCACAUCAAAGUCUUUCAGGCCUUUCAAUUAUAUCAUUUGGUGGAAGGAAAUUCCCACCGUGGCUAGGAGAUCCUUCAUUCACUAGCAUAGUAGAGGUGAAUCUGAGCCAUUGUUCUCAAAUCACAUCGUUGCCACCACUUGGACGACUACAGUCACUAAAAAAGUUGAGCAUAGAAUCUCUGGAUGGAGUGAAAGAAUUGGGUGUUGAGUUUUACGAGGAUGAUUCCUGUUUUUCUUGUUUGGAGACAUUAAAAAUUAGUAGUAUGGGUCAGUGGGAGUUGUGGUCUUGGUCUAAUGGUCUGGGUGAAGAUUCUAUAGCCAAAUUUCCCAAGCUACGUGAGCUUCGAAUAAGAAGGUGUCCAAUGUUGGUGGGAAAAUUGCCCACCUUCCUUCCUUCACUAGAAGAACUAGAUAUUGAUGGUUGCCCGCUGUUAGUUGAUUUACCAAAAGUACUCCCGUCUCUUCUAACAAUCUCUAUCAGACAAUGUCAAGAGGUCGUUCUUAGGUGUUUGUCUAAUACCACCUCUAUCACUACCUUGAAAAUUGUAGGCGUGUCAGGGCUUGUAAGAUUAGAUGAAGCCCACAUAAAGACCUUGGGGUCACUCGAAGUUUUGGAGAUUUGGAAUUGUGAUAAACUGAGAUGCCUGUGGGCUGAUGGAAUCAAUUCAAACUAUCUUACUAAUCUAAAGCGUUUGGAAAUUUUCCAAUGUAAUGAGCUAGUGUCAUUGGUAGAUGGAGAAGAAGGGCUUUUGCCUUGCAAUCUUGAAAGUUUGGUUGUAGAAUAUUGUUCUAAUAUGAAGGAGUUGCGAAGUGGGUUGAGCAAUCUCAAAUCUCUCAAAGAUUUGACAAUCCGCUCAUGUGGAAGUUUAGUCUCCUUUCCAGCAAGGGGUUUGCCGUGCAGCUUGAUACGUGUUAGUAUUAAGGACUGUGAUUCUUUGGAGUGUCUGCCGGAGGGAAUUGUGCAUCGCCGUAAUUACCGUAACGAGACAUCCCAUCUUGAGAAGUUGCAUAUCAGUAAAUGUAAAUCUCUCAGGUCCUCUCCAGAUGGCGAGUUUCCUGAUUCCCUAAGGACUCUUCAAAUUCACAACUGGACGGCACAAUCAUUAAACACGCUGUCUUAUGGGCUUUCUCGUCUUACAGAAUUACACAUAUGGAACUGUCCUCAAUUAGACUCGUUUCCAAGGACUGAAAUGCUCAUCCCCACUCUUAUCUCUUUAUCAAUUAGGUGGUGUGAAAGAUUGAGGUCUCUAUCCAGUCGUAUGCAAAGCCUCCAUCGUCUCCAACAUUUAAAAAUAUUUGGAUGUCAUCAAUUAGAGUUGUUCCCGGAGAUUGGAUUACCCAACACUAAGCUUGUCUCUUUCAAAAUUGGGUAUUGUGAAAAUUUGAGGUCUCUACCUAAUCAGAUGCAAAACCUCACUUCCCUUCGAUAUCUGCAGAUAAAAGAUUGUAGAGGUGUGGAAUUCUUAAAAGGGUGUUUACCACCAAACCUAUCUGACCUAUCGAUCAAUAGAUGCGAGAAUCUGAAACAGCCAAUGCUAGAGUGGGAACUCCACAGACUCACCUCUCUUACAAAAUUGGUCAUCGGUAACAUCAAGUCAACUGAAGAUAUUAUUUCCUUUCCAGAUGAUGACGGAUUACUGCUUCCCACUUCUCUAACCGUCCUCAAAAUCUCUCUCAAGAAUCUGAAAUCCAUAUCCAUGGGUAUCAAAAACCUCACAUCUCUUGAAAAAUUAGAAAUUUCGUCAUGCCCAAAACUCCAGUCCUUCCCAGCUGAGGGCUUCCCUGCUACUCUUGAACUCCUAGAUAUUUCCGGCUGUCCUCUACUGCGAGACCGUUGCUUAAAAUAUACAGGGGGAGAUUACUGGCCUAUCAUUUCUCAUAUCCCCAGUGUUUGGAUACCCGAUUAAUGCAGGCUCUGCUGCACUCCAACAAUCAGCAUACGAGCCAGUGGUGCUGUCCAAAUCUAUACAGAGAUCAAAAUGAUCUGGAUAAGUAUGAAAAAUGGAAGAUGUGAAACUCUGCUGCCCUUGAGUUCUUCUGAGGAAAAUUUGCCUGAGCUUGCAUACGAUUUUAUCUUCUGUAUAAAUUUUGAAUCCCUAUUUUUAAUUUGAGAAAAAUAGGAAUGGAAACUUGAGAUACCAAUCUAGUGGCCUCGUUGGAGUUGCAACUUUAUGUCAUGGUGCACUGCCGGUAGGCACAAAAUGGAUGGACAACACUACUAUUGCAGGCAGCUAAUGUUGGGGAUAUGUUUUUCUUUUCGAUUUAUUUAUAAGUUAAUCAUGAGAAGAGAACAAAAGAAGUUGCGCCUAUGGUGAUGAUGAACCAUUGGAAAGCAGAGUGUGCUUAGGUCUCUUUGUGGAUGCAUUUAAAUUAGCAGGCCUCUGUAUCUCGAAUUUUUGGACCAAGAGGGGCUUCAAUAACUCACCUCUCUCGAAAAGCUGGAAAUUAUUUGCUGCAAAAGGCUCUGUUCCUUGCCAGAGGGGCUACCUUCCUCUUUAUUUUCUAUCAAGGAAUGUCCACGGCUAAAAGGAAAACUCCAGAAUAAAAGAGGAAGAAAUUCGUCCAGAAUUGCUGAUUUUCAUAGCAUAUAUAUUGAUGAGGAAGAAUCUAAUUAACAACCUAGAAGAGAUGAUAAUCUUGUUUGCAGAAACAUCUGAUAUUCCUUGCAUAUUCAAGGUUUACCUCAAAGCUUUCAAAGAACUCCAAUCGGACAUGUUGAGCAUCUCCACAUUACAAAUGCUAUAUACAUUGUUUUUGCCUUUAUAGAGGACCCAUCAAUAUGCUGUCAACUGAAUUUCAAAUUUGUUCUUGCACGAUAAUAUCAAAGAAUAGAUAACUGCUGAGCUUGGCCUGAGCAGCUGUCAUAAGGAGUCCAAGGGAAAGAAACGAUUGCUGGCAGAACAUAAUAGCAGCUUUUUAUAUUUCUGUUUUCUCAAUGGAGUUUUCCAAGUGCAAUUUCCUUUAUGUCUAGUUCAUUGGUAUCCCCCCAAGUUUCUACAUGUUUAAACAGUACAGAUGAGUGGUAGUGUGAUGGUAGCAGAAGACUUGGCCCUCUGCUAUGGCUUUGCUUGUUUCCUUGUCUGAUUUUUUUCUCUGAUGGAUCAUGAACAUAUGUUGAUAUGAAUGGAUGGGAGCUUAAUUGUACAACAAAAUUGCUACAGCUCCAAAAUUCACAGUUUUUUCUCUA